rnacentral:pre_miRNA from 1 species
GGUUGGUGGGCCCUCCCGCAGGGCGAGGCCGGGCCUGGCGGGGUGAGGUAGUAGGUUGUGUGGUUUCAGGGCAGUGAUGUUGCCCCUCAGAAGAUAACUAUACAACCUACUGCCUUCCCUGAGGAGCCCAGUGACGUGACCCCACGGGAGGGCUGCCUCC